AGCCAAGUUGAAAUUGAAUUUGCUUGUGUCAAAUUCUCUUACAUACUUGAUUAUUAUUUGGCUGCUGGAAUGCACUCACUUUCCAACACAAACUAAGGAUAUCCGUAUUUUGUGCAAAAGUUAGACCAUGGAACAUUAUUAGGGGGAACUUAUUAAGCUAGAGAUUUAAGCACCAUUAUGAUGGUUUAAAUUAUGUGAGAUUUGGUCCAACUUGUCAAGCAGCCAUUACCUGUAUCAUGCCUACAAAAGGUUAUGGAUGUCUUGACUUUGAUGGAGGAAACAUGGGAUUUACUUAUCCAGCAGGCCAAGGAGCGUCUAUAUAUUGUCCUAUAAUAUACUAUUUAGUCGUAAUGAGUUCUGCUGAGGAAGGAAGUUUGUAGAGGAAUUAACUAGAAAUAAUUCCUCUUUCUCCUUUUUGUUUUGUUUUCCUGUAGGAGUUUGGAGUACUUGAAGUUUUCUAGCAGCUUCCGUAUAUCAUAAUGGGGUUGCUAGAUUUAUACAUGGUUGCUUCUGUGCCGGUUAUGAAAGUACUCUUAAUUUGCGGACUCGGCUCUUUUCUUGCUUUAGAUCAUAUAGACAUCUUGGGAGAGAGUGCAAGGAAGCAGAUAAAUAAUGUUGUAUUUUUCGUAUUCAAUCCAGCACUUGUCUCCAGCAACCUGGCUCAAACAAUUACCUUGGAGAACAUCGUAUCAUUGUGGUUCAUGCCGGUCAACAUCUUGCUGACUUUUAUUCUUGGCUUAUUUUUUGGAUGGGUACUUGGCAAAAUAACUAAAGCUCCUCAGCAUCUGAAAGGCCUCGUAAUAGGUUCAUGCGCAGCAGGAAACUUGGGGAAUUUGCCUUUGAUUCUUGUCCCAGCUAUAUGCCGUGAAAAGGGUAGUCCAUUUGGAGCACCAGAUAGCUGCCAUAUGUAUGGGAUGGCUUAUGUUUCUCUUUCUAUGGCGAUAGGAGCCAUUUAUCUGUGGUCUAUUGUUUAUAACAUUGUUCGUGUAUCAUCAACUAAGAGCUAUGAAGUUAUAAAUGUGAAGAAUAAAAGUUCUGAUGAAGAAACCUCAAAAUCCCUUCAAGAGCAGUUAAUUGAUGAGCUUGAUUUAGAAGGCACAUCUGCUAUGGACGAUGCAAAUGUAUCUUUGCUAUCAUGUGCUAAAACUGAUGAGCAAGGAAAGGUUUUCAUCAUGGGCAAAAUUAAGAAGCAAAUAUAUUCAUUUUUCAGAAACAUUAAUCUGACGGCCAUACUUGCACCUUCAACGACUGCAGCGAUUGUUGGCUUCAUCGUCGGAUUAGUGCCCCCCAUACAAAGGUUGAUGAUUGGUGCUAGCGCUCCGCUUCAUGUAGUCCAGGAUUCUGCUUUAUUACUUGGGGAAGCAGCAAUCCCCAUAGUCACACUGAUAGUUGGGGCAAACCUCCUUAGAGGUCUAAGAGGAUCAGGAGUCCAGCUUACUGUCAUUCUCGGGAUCAUUGCUAUUCGAUAUGUUUUCCUGCCUCUGAUUGGAGUCUUGGUUAUUAGAGGGGCAAUUCAUCUCGGCUUCGUGCAUGCAGAUCCCUUAUAUCAGUUUGUUCUACUACUACAGUAUGCUCUUCCCCCUGCCAUGAAUAUAGGUACAAUUACACAAUUAUUUGGGUCAGGCCAGUCUGAAUGUUCUGUAAUUCUGCUGUGGACAUACUCAGUUGCAUCAGUUUCUCUAACACUUUGGUCAACCUAUUUCAUGUGGCUAGUAGCCAAAUCUUGAUUUUGCCGUAGCAGCUGCCAGUUUUGCAACAUGUAUUCAUGUUGUUCUCGUUGCUUCAGCUAAUCAGAAGGUGUCAUGAAGAGGGUUCUUUUCCAUUGAUACAAAGAUCAAAAUAGCCCAACUGUCCAACUAAGUAGCUGUGCGGAUGUACCUGAAAACCUUGUGGCUUUUGCACUCUCUUUCCCUUUUAAUUAUCCUACUUUUCGAAUUCAGCGUUCAAAAAGGAAACCCUAAAUAUCGCCGUUUUGGAGGUUGAACAAUUGAGCACUCCAAAAGUUUUAAGCACUGACGCCCAAUAAACGAGUUGCUCGGUUCCAAUUUGGAUGCGUGGCCGCUGUAUCAGCAGCAAUGUCAUGCUCAUUCCCAUUUGGAUGCUGUUGCAUGCUGGUAAUCCAUAUUCCGUACUUGUUACCUUGCUAAUGCUAUCUAAGCUUUUCUUUUCUUUGGGAAUAGAUUCUUGGUUUAUAUAUCUAUAUAUUGGUUCUGGUGUUUUUGCCGUAAA